GACGAACGCUGGCGGCGUGCUUAACACAUGCAAGUCGAACGGAAAGGCCCUGCUUUUGUCGGGUGCUCGAUUGGCGAAAGGGUGAGUAACACGUGAGUAACCUGCCCUAGACUUUGGGAUAACUUCUGGUAACUGGGGCUAAUACCUGAUAGGAGCUCCUGCUGCAAGGGGUCGGCUGGAAUGUUUCGGUGGUUGGGGAUGGACUCGCGGCUUCGAAGCUUAGGGGUGGGGUAGUGGCUUACCGAGGCUUUGACGGGAAUCCGGCCUGAGAGGGUGACCGGCCACAUUGGGACUGAGAUACGACACAGACUCCUACGGGAGGCAGCGGUGGGGAAUAUUGUACAAUGGGAGGAAGGCUAAUGCAACAACGCCGCGUGCGGGAUGUCGGGCAUCGGGUUGUAAACCGCUUUCGCCUGUGACGAAGCGUGAGUGACGGUAAUGGGUAAAGAAGCACCGGCUAACUACGUG
rnacentral:rRNA from 1 species